CUGCUCGCUUUGGCAGCAUGCAUACUAGAAUUGGAAUGAUAGAGAUUAGCAUGGCCCCUGCACAAGGAUGACCUGCAAAUUCAGGAAGCAUUCCAUAUUUUC
rnacentral:snRNA from 1 species